GUGGGAAUCUGCCCCUUGGUUCGGAAUAACAGUUGGAAACGACUGCUAAUACCGGAUGACGACGUAAGUCCAAAGAUUUAUCGCCGAGGGAUGAGCCCGCGUAAGAUUAGCUAGUUGGUGUGGUAAAGGCGCACCAAGGCGACGAUCUUUAGCUGGUCUGAGAGGAUGAUCAGCCACACUGGGACUGAGACACGGCCCAGACUCCUACGGGAGGCAGCAGUGGGGAAUAUUGGACAAUGGGCGAAAGCCUGAUCCAGCAAUGCCGCGUGAGUGAUGAAGGCCUUAGGGUUGUAAAGCUCUUUUACCCGGGAUGAUAAUGACAGUACCGGGAGAAUAAGCUCCGGCUAACUCCGUGCCAGCAGCCGCGGUAAUACGGAGGGAGCUAGCGUUAUUC
rnacentral:rRNA from 1 species